rnacentral:rRNA from 1 species
CUACGGGGCGCACCAGUGGGGAAUAUUGCACAAUGGGCGCAAGCCUGAUGCAGCCAUGCCGCGUGUAUGAAGAAGGCCUUCGGGUUGUAAAGUACUUUCAGCGGGGAGGAAGGGAGUAAAGUUAAUACCUUUGCUCAUUGACGUUACCCGCAGAAGAAGCACCGGCUAACUCCGUGCCAGCAGCCGCGGUAAUACGGAGGGUGCAAGCGUUAAUCGGAAUUACUGGGCGUAAAGCGCACGCAGGCGGUUUGUUAAGUCAGAUGUGAAAUCCCCGGGCUCAACCUGGGAACUGCAUCUGAUACUGGCAAGCUUGAGUCUCGUAGAGGGGGGUAGAAUUCCAGGUGUAGCGGUGAAAUGCGUAGAGAUCUGGAGGAAUACCGGUGGCGAGGGCGGCCCCCUGGACGAAGACUGACGCUCGGGUGCGAAAGCGUGGGGAGCAAACAGGAUUAGAUACCCGGGUAGUC